rnacentral:lncRNA from 1 species
GAAAGUUUAUACCUGCUUGUGGGGACAUGAGUGAAGAAAGAGAGGGGACUUUGAAACAAGAGAAGAGAGCAAACUCAAAAGGUAACUGUUUGUUUUCAUAGGACCCUAUGGGAACAACUAGCCCAUUUUUGUUUUCACUCGUGCAGCCAGUUGGGGGAAGGAGAGGAACAUAACUCAUCCAGGUCUGAGGUCUAAGUCUGAAUAUUUAUUGUGCCUCACAGAUGAUCCCCAUUUGAAUCAUCCAAAUUAGGAAAGAGUUUAAAAAAUUACUGAGUAAUAGUCUGGCAGAAUUUUAAUGUGACUUCUCUUGUUGACUUUAAGGUUUAACAGAGGCCCCAAAGGCUGAGAGCAAAAUUGUAGGUACUUAAGUACCUUUACAUUCUAAAGCAAGGUGCAAGAUUGUCUAUAUUAGUCAGACAUUAUAUAUUCAUAUAAGAGAUUUAUUAUAAGGGGUUUUUCAUGGCAGCAUGUGACAAGAUGAUGCUGAAAAAUUUAUAUGGAAAUUCAAAGGAUCAAGAAUAGCUGAAACAUCACUGAAGAAGAACAAAGUGGGCUGAACUCGCUCUACUAGAUAUCAAGAUUUAUAAGCAACUACAGUAUUUAGGACAGUGUAGUAUCGGCACUGGGAGAGAAAAAAAAAAAAAAAAACUAAAAGGAAAAAGAGCCCAGAGACUGACUUUUGUGUAUGUGGACAGUUUGUUUAUGAUGAAAGUACCACUGCUAUGCACUGUGGGAAAAUGUCCUCAAAGAAUGACACUAGGGCAACUGGGUAUCCCCAUGUAAAAACAAUUAACCCUAAUCUCACAUCACACACAAAAAUCAACUCCAUUUGGGGUAUAUACUUAAAUGGAAGGUAAAACUAU